ACGGGGAGCAGCAGGCGCGAAACCUUUACACUGCGCGACAGUGCGAUAGGGGGAUCCCAAGUGCACAGGCAUAGCGCCUGUGCUUUUCGGUACCGUAAGGUGGUACCAGAAUAAGGGCUGGGCAAGACCGGUGCCAGCCGCCGCGGUAAUACCGGCAGCCCAAGUGAUGGCCGAUCUUAUUGGGCCUAAAGCGUCCGUAGCUGGCCGCGCAAGUCCAUCGGGAAUUCCACCUGCUCAACAGGUGGGCACCCGGUAGAAACUGCGUGGCUUGGGACCGGAAGGCGCGACGGGUACGUCCGGGGUAGGAGUGAAAUCCCGUAAUCCUGGACGGACCGCCGAUGGCGAAAGCACGUCGCGAGGACGGAUCCGACAGUGAGGGACGAGAGCCAGGGUCUCGAACCGGAUUAGAUACCCGGGUAGUCCUGGCCGUAAACAAUGUCUGCUAGGUGUGGCUCCCACUACGAGUGGGUGCUGUGCCGUAGGGAAGCCGCUAAGCAGACCGCCUGGGAAGUACGUCCGCAAGGAUGAAACUUAAAGGAAUUGGCGGGGGAGCAC
rnacentral:rRNA from 1 species